rnacentral:rRNA from 1 species
CUUGCUCUUCGAUUCAGCGGCGGACGGGUGAGUAAUGCCUAGGAAUCUGCCUGGUAGUGGGGGACAACGUUUCGAAAGGAACGCUAAUACCGCAUACGUCCUACGGGAGAAAGCAGGGGACCUUCGGGCCUUGCGCUAUCAGAUGAGCCUAGGUCGGAUUAGCUAGUUGGUGAGGUAAUGGCUCACCAAGGCGACGAUCCGUAACUGGUCUGAGAGGAUGAUCAGUCACACUGGAACUGAGACACGGUCCAGACUCCUACGGGAGGCAGCAGUGGGGAAUAUUGGACAAUGGGCGAAAGCCUGAUCCAGCCAUGCCGCGUGUGUGAAGAAGGUCUUCGGAUUGUAAAGCACUUUAAGUUGGGAGGAAGGGCAGUAAGAUAAUACCUUGCUGUUUUGACGUUACCGACAGAAUAAGCACCGGCUAACUCUGUGCCAGCAGCCGCGGUAAUACAGAGGGUGCAAGCGUUAAUCGGAAUUACUGGGCGUAAAGCGCGCGUAGGUGGUUUGUUAAGUUGGAUGUGAAAGCCCCGGGCUCAACCUGGGAACUGCAUCCAAAACUGGCAAGCUAGAGUACGGUAGAGGGUGGUGGAAUUUCCUGUGUAGCGGUGAAAUGCGUAGAUAUAGGAAGGAACACCAGUGGCGA